AUUUAAUAAUGAUGUCGCUAAUAGACGUUACCCCUUACGACGUCGCAAGCAGCCAUAUCCAUGCAUGAAUAUCUGUGAAACAGUGAAACCGGACAUAGUGUUAUGAAUAGUGGAGAAACAUUAGAUGAAUUAAAUUAAAUUUGCAUAGUACCAAAUAUGCAGCUGAUGCCAUCGGACAUUUUUUUUACACAGAAUUCAAUUUCGAAUAAAUUUGGAAUCUCAACAAACCAUAGUGGCACGCGUAUUGGAGAAACGUUAGAUGAUCUUAUAAAUGGAUCAGCUACAGUUGCAAAUAUUCCUAGAAUCAGCGUGUGUUGGUGGGAAGGAAAGUGGUUCACACAUGACAAUCGAAGACUCUGGGUAUUCCGAAAAGCGGAAAAACUCGGAAUAAUAAAUUCCAUUCCAGUGUAUACAACUUCGAUUUCCAAGGUGGAUUCAAACAAAUUUACAACAUGUAAUGAGGGAUCAAGUGUGAAUGUACGAGGUAAUGCUGGUGGAUCAGCUUGGCGUCGGCGCAGUACAGGGAGAUCUAGAAAUCAAUACCUAGACCAUAAUAGUCAAUCCUUAAAUCUCACGAAUUUGGAUAAUUAUCCCGAAACAACAAUUUAUUCUAGAUCCACAGAUAAUACACAUCCUGCGCCAACAUAUACUCAUUCUGUGCCAACACGUCGUUUGUCUUCUUCUUUUCCAGAUAAUUCUCGUUCAAAAAGAUCUCGCUUUUCGGAUUCCGGAUUGACAAAUUUUUCAGGACAAUCUAUGUUUGAACAAACAAAACCGCCUAGAAAUACAGAUAGAAUUCCAGGUUACAUAUGUGCCUUGUUCUUAUUUGUGUGUUUAUAUUUCUUGUUCUUUUGAAACCAUUUUGUUUCAAGACAUUAUUAUCAGUUAUUUUAUGUAUAAAUGUCUACUUAAUUGUAUUAAUACUAUCAAAAUCAGACGUUUACAGCCGAUCGACAUGUGUUUGGUUUAUAUACUUGUAAUAAAUGCAUGUGAGUUGUA